GGUGGCCUACAUAGCUCUAUCUGUGUGCUGUGUGCUGUUGCUGGGCAGGGGGAGCCAUUUUCCUCAGGUUCCAGUACAUGAUGGGAAACAGUGGUUGGCGCCAGACAGUGUCAGUGCCCAGUAGCAAUCUAAUCACUCCAGUCUCAGCAGGGAGCUCAGCCACCACAGCCACUCUGGAUGGACUCAGCCUGCAGCUACACCUAGGACCCGUUACACCCACACAUCUUUUCUCAGACCUUAUCUCCCCAGAGGAGGGAGUGACUGGCAUACAGACAUUGUGGAGACAAGUAAGUGGUUCCCCAUUAAUCACACCAUCCCUUCACAAGGUUUAGAAUAGGUAAAGACACAUUCACAUGUGAAGAUAAUGUUCUCUUCUCUUUCUGAUAUUCCGCAUAGCACCAGAGACAUGUGAAAGACAAGCCUGACUUCUCCCCUCUCUGGGCCCCAGGUGACUGAGCCCCAAGCUGAGGGAGGAAGUGCAACUGCCAACACCAGAGUCCAAAGAGAUACAUUCUAAUAACAAGUAUAUCAUAUGAGCAUAUUAUGCAGAUAAGACAUCUUCAUUAUCUAUGUUGCCUAACUAAUUCUGAUUCUUCAGGCAACAACAGGGAGCCUACCCUUUUUUUGUAAGAAUUCAUCUCAAAUUACUCAAAGGUAAUAUAUUAGUAGCUGUGUUGCCAAAUUGAGUCAAACAGUGUUUGCAAAAUCAAUGCGACAUGUGAGCUAAUCAACUAGGCCUACGGUAGCCUAGGCUGUCGAUAGUGGGUGCUAGAUCGUCUACAAUUGAUGUGCAUUCCCAGUAAUACACUCGUGUCCCCCGUGGACCGGCUCAUACAUGAAGCAUCCUCCAUUCAGGCUGCAAGGCAUCAUUUCCCUCCGUAGCCAUUUUUAAUGGCGAGCUGGAAAAUAUAAAAACUGGAGAAAUGUAUUUUAUCUUAACCCUCCUGCUGUGUUCCGGUCGAAUUGGACCGAUUUUCAAGUUUUCUCUCUAAAAAAUGUAAUUCAUUUAAUCUGAUUGUCAUAAGGUUCCAUGACUUUGUCCACACAGGGCAUCUGAACACGC
rnacentral:lncRNA from 1 species